UACGGGGGGGCAAGCGUUGUUCGGAAUUACUGGGCGUAAAGGGCUCGUAGGUGGCCAACUAAGUCAGACGUGAAAUCCCUCAGCUUAACUGGGGAACUGCGUCUGAUACUGGAUGGCUUGAGUUUGGGAGAGGGAUGCGGAAUUCCAGGUGUAGCGGUGAAAUGCGCAGAUAUCAGGAGGAACACCCGUGGCGAAGGCGGCUCUCUGGUACGUGACUGACGCUGAGACGCGAAAGCGUGGGGAGCAAACAGG
rnacentral:rRNA from 1 species